rnacentral:rRNA from 1 species
GACGAACGCUGGCGGCGUGCCUAAUACAUGCAAGUAGAACGCUGAAGGAGGAGCUUGCUUCUCUGGAUGAGUUGCGAACGGGUGAGUAACGCGUAGGUAACCUGCCUGGUAGCGGGGGAUAACUAUUGGAAACGAUAGCUAAUACCGCAUAAUAGUAGAUGUCGCAUGACAUUUGCUUAAAAGGUGCAAUUGCAUCACUACCAGAUGGACCUGCGUUGUAUUAGCUAGUUGGUGAGGUAACGACUCACCAAGGCAACGAUACAUAGCCGACCUGAGAGGGUGAUCGGCCACACUGGGACUGAGACACGGCCCAGACUCCUACGGGAGGCAGCAGUUGGGAAUCUUCGGCAAUGGACGGAAGUCUGACCGAGCAACGCCGCGUGAGUGAAGAAGGUUUUCGGAUCGUAAAGCUCUGUUGUAAGAGAAGAACGAGUGUGAGAGUGGAAAGUUCACACUGUGACGGUAUCUUACCAGAAAGGGACGGCUAACUACGUG